rnacentral:tRNA from 1 species
GAGGGGAGGUAACCCACCAAGAACUGCUAACUCUUGCAUCUGAGUUUAAAACCUCAGUCCCCUUA